rnacentral:rRNA from 1 species
GUUGAACGCUGGCGGCGUGCCUAAUACAUGCAAGUCGAGCGAAUGGACGAGAAUUUCGCCUCUCUGAUGUUACCGGCGGGCGGGUGAUUAACACGUGUAUAACUUACCUAUAAGACUGGCAUAACGUCGCGAAAGCUGAUCUCAUAUCCGUCCUUAUUGUGAACGUCAUGGUUCUUCAGUCAAAGCCCUUCCUGCUGACCCUUAUAGAUGUUUCCAGGUUGCAUUAGCUAGUUGGUAAGGUAACGGCUUACCAAGGCUACGAUGCAUAGCCGAUCUGAGAGGAUGAUCAGCCACACUGGAACUGAGACACGGUCCAGACUCCUACGGGAGGCAGCAGUAGGGAAUCUUCCGCAAUGGGCGAAAGCCUGACGGAGCAACGCCGCGUGAGUGAAGAAGGUCUUCGGAUCGUAAAACACUGUUAGUAGGGAAGAACAGAUGUGUGAGAAAAUGUGCACAUCUUGACGGUACCAACACAGAAAGCCACGGCUAACUACGUG